GGUUCUUUAUCUUCUUCUCUAAGAUAACCCUCUGCUGUCGCCGCCUCAGUUGAAGUUAAGAUUGGUCUCUUUGGAAGCUUGAGGAUUUAAAGUGAUGAAUUUUUUCAUCAAGGAUAAGAGGAUUUUUCAACCUCCAUUUGAGUAACCUUGGAUCAAGUUAAUUGGAGAAUUUUACUGUCAACUAGGGAGUACCUUUGUUUGGCUAAAAUCUCCAGGCGAAGGUAAAGGUAGAGGAAAGCUGGCGAG